UACGAAGGGGGCUAGCGUUGCUCGGAAUCACUGGGCGUAAAGGGCGCGUAGGCGGCCGGCCAAGUCGGGGGUGAAAGCCUGUGGCUCAACCACAGAAUGGCCCUCGAUACUGGACGGCUCGAGACCGGAAGAGGUUGGUGGAAUUGCGAGUGUAGAGGUGAAAUUCGUAGAUAUUCGCAAGAACACCGGUGGCGAAGGCGGCCAACUGGUCCGGAUC
rnacentral:rRNA from 1 species